rnacentral:snRNA from 1 species
GUGCUUGCUUUGUCAGCACAUAUACUAAAAUUGGAAUGAUACAGAGAAGAUUUGCAUGGCCCUUGCACAAGGAUGACAUGCAAAUUCGUGAAGCAUUCCAUAUUUUU